AUUGCCCCAGUAACGGCGAGUGAAGCGGCAACAGCUCAAAUUUGAAAUCUGGUCCCCAGGGCCCGAGUUGUAAUUUGCAGAGGAUGCUUUUGGCGAGGCGCCUUCCGAGUUCCCUGGAACGGGACGCCAUAGAGGGUGAGAGCCCCGUCUGGUUGGAUGCCGAGCCUCUGUAAAGCUCCUUCGACGAGUCGAGUAGUUUGGGAAUGCUGCUCUAAAUGGGAGGUAUAUGUCUUCUAAAGCUAAAUACCGGCCAGAGACCGAUAGCGCACAAGUAGAGUGAUCGAAAGAUGAAAAGCACUUUGAAAAGAGGGUUAAAUAGUACGUGAAAUUGUUGAAAGGGAAGCGCUUAUGACCAGACUUGGGCCCGGUGAAUCAUCCAGCGNUUCUCGCUGGUGCACUUUGCCGGGNCUCAGGCCAGCAUCAGUUUGCCCCGGGGGAUAAAGGCUUUGGGAAUGUGGCUCCCUCGGGAGUGUUAUAGCCCAUUGCACAAUACCCUGGGGCGGACUGAGGUUCGCGCAUCNUGCAAGGAUGCUGGCGUAAUGGUCAUCAGCGACCCGUCUUGAAACACGGACCAAGGAGUCGUCUUCGUAUGCGAGUGUUCGGGUGUCAAACCCCUACGCGUAAUGAAAGUGAACGCAGGUGAGAGCUUCGGCGCAUCAUCGACCGAUCCUGAUGUUCUCGGAUGGAUUUGAGUAAGAGCAUACGGGGCCGGACCCGAAAGAAGGUGAACUAUGCCUGUAUAGGGUGAAGCCAGAGGAAACUCUGGUGGAGGCUCGCAGCGGUUCUGACGUGCAAAUCGAUCGUCAAAUAUGGGCAUGGGGGCGAAAGACUAAUCGA
rnacentral:rRNA from 1 species